UACUGCUGUGUAUGUGCUCCAUGUGAGUGACGUAGGUGCUUAUGAAGGUGGGUUCCAACUUUGGCAAAAAUCACGUUAUGUCACUCUGUACAAACAGAUCUCUGACGUAACUCGAGGACCUAUUGUAUUAUCUGUUUGGAAAGUUUAAUCUACAUUUUCUUAACUUGGUGUCUAAUAUACAAUAUUUUACUGUUGUUCUCCUAGCUAACUAGAUGCUUAAUUUCAGUCUCCCUAGCACUCAAGUUAAUGAACCUCUUCUCCAUCGACACACAUUCCCUGGAUAAAUUAAUCCAGCCAUGUUUUUAAACACUGCAAAGAUUUUCCAAAUUUUUAUUUCCAGCUCAGAACUAUCACCAGAAUUCCAGAUUCAUAUAUCCAGUUACUCAACAAUAUAUGUUAAUUUUGAAAAGGCAUAUAAAACAUAACACUGAAGUUCCACCUCUGCCAAGCAGUCUAGAUAGUUUCAGAUCAAUCCUCUCAAUGACAACUAAAAAACUGAACAAAAUAUAAAAACUAUAUAUUUGAAAGCAAUUGAAAACUAUCAAUGGCCAAAAUGCAAGACAGGAAGAAAGACCAGAAAUGUGAGACUGUUGGGAGUCACUUUUAUCUUUAAGGCAACUGUUGUAUUUGGUUGUGGCUGAGAGGCUGAGAUGCUAGGCACAUUUCUUAGCAAACUUGUAAAAGUAGGGGGAAAACUGAGAGUACAUGAUCUAUGAACAGCAGGCCUAAUAAACAACUCAUUCUUUUGUUUGGGAACCUGAAGAAAUAUACUGUAAGAGCAUCUUUUUUGAUCCCACUUCGAAAAACACCCUAACACUAGGAUUUAAAUGCACAUAGUUUAUUUGGGAUAUGCCAAGGACAAGAGUAGGGGAGUGGAGAAAAGAUACAGGAAAGUGAAAGCAGGCCUUAAAUUAAUGGGAUAUGUUAUUAAACCAGUUACCCACAGUGGGUAACUCUAGUUAACAUAACAGGGAAACUGAGAAACAGUAAAAAUACAAACCUCAUUAUUACCCAAUGCAAAAGGGAACUGAGGUAUUUAUAUAACAAUCCCAAAGUGUUUUCUAGGGUAAAGGGGAGUAUUAACUCCUUGGGAUUUUAGAACUGCUGAGUACAGCCUUCUGCAGUUCCAGAAAAAAAAAAAAAAA